CCUCGGGAGGCAGCAGUGGGGGAUAUUGCACAAUGGGGGGAACCCUGAUGCAGCGACGCCGCGUGGGCGAUGGAGUGCUUCGGCAUGUAAAGCCCUAUCAGCAGGGAAGAAAAUGACGGUACCUGACUAAGAAGCCCCGGCUAAAUACGUGCCAGCAGCCGCGGUAAUACGUAUGGGGCAAGCGUUAUCCGGAUUUACUGGGUGUAAAGGGUGCGUAGGCGGACGCUUAAGUCAGCGGUAAAAUUGCGGGGCUCAACCUCGUCGAGCCGUUGAAACUGGGUGCCUUGAGUGGGCGAGAAGUACGCGGAAUGCGUGGUGUAGCGGUGAAAUGCAUAGAUAUCACGCAGAACUCCGAUUGCGAAGGCAGCGUACCGGCGCCCAACUGACGCUGAAGCACGAAGGCGUGGGUAUCGAACAGGAUUAGAUACCCCUGUAGUC
rnacentral:rRNA from 1 species